GCGAGCGUCGUCUAAUGGUAGGACGGGCCUUUGGGGUAAGAACGCGCGGUUCGAAUCCGCGCCGCUCGCA
rnacentral:tRNA from 1 species